rnacentral:rRNA from 1 species
AGAGUUUGAUCCUGGCUCCCAGGACGAACGCUGGCGGCGUGCUUAACACAUGCAAGUCGAGCGGUAAGGACCCCUUCGGGGUACACGAGCGGCGAACGGGUGAGUAACACGUGAGCAACCUGCGCCCCUGACUCCGGGAUAAGCGGUGGAAACGCCGUCUAAUACCGGAUACGCCACCCGCCACCUCAUGGUGGAGGGUGGAAAGUUUUUCGGUCAGGGAUGGGCAUUCGCGGCCUAUCAGCUUGUUGGUGGGGUAACGGCCUACCAAGGCGAUUACUAGGGUAGCCGGCCUGAGAGGGCGACCGGCCACACUGGGACUGAGACACGGCCGCCAGACUCCUGCGGGAGGCAGCAGUGGGGAAUAUUGCGCAAUGGGCGAAAGGGCCUGACGCAGCGACGCCGCGUGGGGGAUGACGGCCUUCGGGUUGUAAACCGCUCUUUUACCACCAACGCAGGCCCGGAGUUUUCUUCGGGUUGACGGUAGGUGUGGGGAAUAAGGACCGGCUAACUACGUGCCAGCAGCCGCGGUAAUACGUACGGGGUCCGAGCGUUGUCCGGAAUUAUUGGGCGUAAAGAGCUCGUAGGCGGCUGGUGUCGCGUCUGCUGUGAAAGACCGGGGCUUAACUCCGGUUCUGCAGUGGAGAUACGGGCAUGCUAGAGGUAGGUAGGGGAGACUGGAAUUCCUGGUGUAGCUAGGUGAAAUGCGCAGAUAUCAGGAGGAACACCGGUGGCGAAGGCGGGUCUCGCUGGGCCUUACCUGACGCUGAGGAGCGAAAGCAUGGGGAGCGAACAGGAUUCCAGAUACCCUGGUAGUCCAUGCCGUAAACGUUGGGCGCUAGGUGUGGGGACCUUUUCCACGGUUUCCGCGCCGUAGCUAACGCAUUAAGCGCCCCGCCUGGGGCGAGUACGGCCGCAAGGCUAAAACUCAAAGGAAUUGACGGGGGCCCGCACAAAUGCGGCGGAGCAUGUUGCUUAAUUCGACGCAACGCGAAGAACCUUACCAAGGUGUUUGACAUCACCCGUGGACUCGCAGAGAUGUGAGGUCAUUUAGUUGGCGCGGGUGACAGGUGGUGCAUGGCUGUCGUCAGCUCGUGUCGUGAGAUGUUGGGCCUUAAGUCCCGCAACGAGCGCAACCCUUGUUCCAUGUUGCCAGCACGUAAUACGGUGGGGACUCAUGGGAGACUGCCGGGGUCAACUCGGAGGAAGGUGGGGAGGUGACGUCAAGUCAUCAUGCCCCUUAUGUCUUGGGCUGCAAACAUGCUACACCAUGGCCGGUACAAUGGGCGUGCGAUACCGUAAGGUGGAGCGAAUCCCUAACAAAGCCGGUCUCAGUUCGGAUUGGGGUCUGCAACUCGACCCCAUGAAGGUGCAGAGUCGCUAGUAAUCGCGGAUCAGCAACGCCGCGGUGAAUACGUUCCCGGUUGCCUUGUACACACCGCCCGUCACGUCAUGAAAGUCGGCAACACCCGAAACAAUUGCGGCCUAACCCCUUGUGGGAGGAGUGAGUGAAGGUGGGGCUGGCGAU